rnacentral:rRNA from 1 species
ACGUAUUCACCGUAGCAUUCUGAUCUACGAUUACUAGCGAUUCCGACUUCAUGGAGUCGAGUUGCAGACUCCAAUCCGGACUACGACGCACUUUAUGAGGUCCGCUUGCUCUCGCGAGGUCGCUUCUCUUUGUAUGCGCCAUUGUAGCACGUGUGUAGCCCUACUCGCAAGGGCCAUGAUGACUUGACGUCAUCCCCACCUUCCUCCAGUUUAUCACUGGCAGUCUCCUUGAGUUCCCGGCCUAACCGCUGGCAACAAAGGAUAAGGGUUGCGCUAGGUUGCGGGCUUAACCCAACAUUCACAACACGAGCUGACGACAGCCAUGCAGCACCUGUCUCAGAGUUCCCGAAGGCACCAAUCCAUCUCUGGAAAGUUCUCUGGACGUCAAGAGUAGGUAAGGUUCUUCGCGUUGCAUCGAAUUAAACCACAUGCUCCACCGCUUGUGCGGGCCCCCGUCAAUUCCUUUGAA